GGGCAGCGACUUUACGUUUUACACUGUAGUUCCGUCAUUUUCACGAUAAGUGAGUAAAACCGGGCUGCAGCAAAGACUAGUACUUCAUGAACAGCGCGCCUGAUCUGAACUUGCCAGGUUAUUCUCGCAUUCUUGACGUUAUAUUUCAUUAAUGGUUGAUUUAUGUCAUAAUCUGCCAUGGAAGACAUUACGCAAACAACGCUUCCUGAUCCAUUGCAGCAACAAGCAAUGUGCCAUCAGGAUGGCUUGGCCCUCUCCAGUCAUCUGAGCCCUCAGCUGAGGAUGUGCCCGAGCCUGAUGUAGAUGAGCCAAUGUCUAGUAGCCAUCUUGAUGACCAUGCUUCAAUCGAAGAUCCUCAACUAGUCAGGCUAGAAAGCCUGCAUGCCCAGAGAGAUCUACAUAACCAGUUUGCCCAACGUAAUGCAUAGACAUUACUCCACCAAAUAUGUAGCAAACAACUCCACAGAGAGACAACAGGAUUUUGGAGGAUGUCCAUCAUAUGUUUGUGGACAUGGAGGAAAAACUAAAACAAGAUCCAACCACCUACGUAGAAUCGUACAAGGCUAUGCUCAGAGCAUAUGGUCGUUUAAAAACAGACAGUGCCCUUGUAUCAGCAGUCCGAAUGUUUGGCA